AUGCGGGGCUCAAUCCCAGGACCCUGGGACCAUGACCUGAGCCGAAGGCAGAGGCUUCACCCACUGAGCCACCCAGGCGCCCAGAAUUUCCACAUUUCUAAGUCCUGGGCCUUGGUAGGCACUGAAGGCUGGUAUCUGGCCUGCUGGUUUCAGAGGUACGUCGCUGACCCUGAGUCUGGACCCUCGGGUCCAUUGUUUCUGGGACCCACCUGCCAGUGCUCAGAAUACUCGUCUUUCCAACACCGCAUCAGCCACCCCUCCUCUGGAGCAGUGGGGAGCACCCCAGCGCCGCCAGCCUUGUUCUGGACACAGCCAUUCGAUUCCAAUACUCCUCACUGUCCUGCCCCUCUGGCUGUUGUGCCGAGCCUUGUCCCUCUCAUUCAGACCACAGAGCAUCACUCCGACCUCUUUCCCCCAUCCCAUGGACCUUCCCUGAGGACCUGCUGUGUGCCUCGUGCCCUGCUUAGUGGGUGGAGCAGCAGGCAAGGGAGGCAAAGCACCGUCUUCAUCCGGGGAGAUGGGCAAGGAGCGAAGCCGCCCAGAGACAAAACCAGAUCUCCGUUUCCUUGAGGUGGCACUGAAGAGCACUGGCACCCGAAGAUGAGUGAACUUGACCAGCUGCGGCAGGAGGCCGAGCAGCUUAAAAACCAAAUUAGGGUAUGUAG
rnacentral:lncRNA from 1 species